UGGGGAAUCUUGCACAAUGGGCGACAGCCUGAUGCAGCAAUGCCGCGUGAGGGAAGACGGCCUUCGGGUUGUAAACCUCUUUCAGUUGGGAUGAAGGUUGGACGGUGAAUAGCCGCGCCAACUGACCGUACCUUCAGAAGAAGCUCCGGCUAACUACGUGCCAGCCGCCGCGGUAAUACGCAGGGGGCGAGCGUUGUCCGGAAUCAUUGGGCGUCAAGCGCGUGUAGGCGGUUUCGUAAGUCUGCUGUGAAAGUCGGAGGCUCAACCUUCGAAAGCCAGUGGNUACUGCGAGACUUGAGUACGGAAGAGGAGAGUGGAAUUCCUGGUGGAGCGGUGGAAUGCGCAGAUAUCAGGAGGGACACCAACGGCGAAGGCAGCUCUCUGGGACGUUACUGACGCUGAGACGCGAAAGCGUGGGGAGCAAACA
rnacentral:rRNA from 1 species